CCAGCAAUGAGUUUCUCCAAUUGUAAACGCGGCUUCUAGCAUCAUUUUUGUAUUAGGUUUUUAUUUUUGUUGCUUCGUCUCCGCCAUUCGAGAAUUAGACAAAACCAGAGUUCUGAGAGAGAUGUUUCACCUUCUUACUAUCAAUCUCUACCAGUUACAGAUUCCCCAUCUUAAAUUCCUUCUUAAAUCAUCACCCACAAUCUACCUUGAAUGCAAGCUUCUUCAUGCAAGAAGGUGGGUUUUCGAUUAUUAAAAAGACCGGACAAUGCUCCUCCACCGUUCAAGUCCGGUUGAUCCGCUUUUGGGAGGCCAGUAGUGGCAAACUCAUGGGAGUGGAAAAUAAUCUAAUUCCAAAGAUCAGCAGCUUCUUCCCUUGGCUGUCAUCCUCUCAAUCCGUGAAUACACCAAAGUUCCUUUCUGAUUUGAAGUCCGGCCGCUUCUCCUCCAUCGUCCAAAUGUCGAAGGAAGAUGAAGAGAUGUUGAGGACAGCUUUGUCGGCUUUCAGGGCUAAAUAAGAGAAGAACGAGAAGAAGAAGAUGGAGGUUUGGAAAAGGAUUUAAGCUCAGCUUUGUUGUGUCGAAGAAGAGACCGAGCGAUUGGUGAGGUUUAUAUAAUUUUAUCAUCCUCAUCAUAAUCUUAUUUAUUCUUCAAAUUUUUGUUUCAGCAUUUAACAAUUGGAUUGAACAAAAAAAAAGUUUUCUUUUUUGUUUUGUUCCAUAAAGGAUCGGACUUUAAUGUUAGGCCUAGAACUGAAGUGAUCAGUAUCACGAAAGGCAUGAUAUAAUAUAUGGUUUUGGGGGCUUAUAUGAGUUAUGUGGAUCAAAGCUCUUUCUUUUUUUGUGAGAAGAACCAUUUCUUCUUCUCGGUAAUGUUAUACUUGAUGACCAAGAAGCUUAGUGGUGGAAUUACAUAUCAAAAACUUGAAGGUUUAGCUGACCCCAUGAGGAAAGAAGUUGCUUUGGCUAGAAAGGAGAUUGAUUCUGUCAAUAAAUAAUUAAAGCCAUUGGCAACGUAAGCUCUCUCUCCAUUAUCAUUUCAUCUUUGAAUCUGCCAUUGAUAGAUUUUUGUGUGUCAGGUUGUUUAAAGCUUCUGCCUCCUGAAGAGCUUGAGCAUCUUGAUAUCUUAUAGCGUAAAGAGUCAAGCUCCCCUGUUAAGAAACUUCUGUACCCAACCGGUGCAGAUUCAAGCUCUUUUGUUCGUGGGAACGAGAUGCGUUUUAAUUUGUUUACUGGGAACCAAAAUUUUGCUGAGAGAGAAUAGUUUUCAGGUGAGUGAGACAGUUUCGGUGCACUGUGGGGUUUUCAACGAGAAUGGAGGGUUUAGUAUUUCGGAUGAAGAUAAUAAGUAUAUGCGAAGUUGUAAAAUUGUAGUCUCCGCAUGUGCCUUUGGACCUUUGGUGGGGGAGAUAACCUUUACCAACCCAUUGGAUUGUCUAAGGCAUCAACUCAAAAGGUUUGCUACGUUGCGUUUUGGGAUGAUGUUACACUCGCAACGAAGGAAGCAGAGGGUCAUAAAACUGGCGAGAAUUCUCUUUGGAUAAAUUCAUAGAUAAUAUGAGAAGUUUCAUAAAAGCAAAAGCAACAAAUAUUCAUAUGCCAUAACAGUAAAUGGUCAUCAAAAUCAGUAGAAUCAAAUAUAAUAUGUGACAUAAAUUAUUUUGGAAGGUGGCAUGCUCACAUGCGAUAUGUAUAUGCUAUUGUUCAUCUUUGGCAGCCAGAAAAUUACAUUGUUAUAAAUUAAAGAACCUUCUUCGUUUGAUUA